GAGAGAGUAGAGAGAGAUGGUGACAGCGGCUGACUGGCGACGGAGCCGUCUCUCCGACGGCGGCGGCGGUGGUCUGAGACUUAGACCGGCAGUUCGUGUUACGGACCGGUGCGGCUGAAGACGGUGGUGAUGACGAUGGUGACGGCAGUGGCAGCGUGACGGUGGUUGUGUCUCGAUCCACGAGAUUUCCGAUUGGGUGUUGUUCACGUCUCGGGUCAAAAGCAAACGUCAACAGUUGGGGUUCGGGUUAGAUGUUGAGUUUCGGGUUUUCGGGUGCAGGUCAGCGCUGUGGUUCAGCUUGUUGCGGUUCACACGGUUC
rnacentral:lncRNA from 1 species